GCCAGGCAUGGUGGUGCACGCCUGUAAUCCCAGCAGCUCAGGAGGCUGAGAUAGGAGGAUCGUGAGUUAAAAGCCAACUUCAGCAACGGUGAGGCACUAAGCAACUCAGUGAGACCCUGUUUAUA
rnacentral:sRNA from 1 species